AUUGAACGCUGGCGGCAUGCCUUACACAUGCAAGUCGAACGGCAGCACGGACUUCGGUCUGGUGGCGAGUGGCGAACGGGUGAGUAAUGUAUCGGAACGUACCAUUGAGUGGGGGAUAACGUAGCGAAAGUUACGCUAAUACCGCAUAUUCUCUCCGGAGGAAAGCAGGGGACCGCAAGGCCUUGCGCUCUUUGAGCGGCCGAUAUCAGAUUAGCUAGUUGGUGGGGUAAAAGCUCACCAAGGCGACGAUCUGUAGCGGGUCUGAGAGGAUGAUCCGCCACACUGGAACUGGGACACGGUCCAGACUCCUACGGGAGGCAGCAGUGGGGAAUUUUGGACAAUGGGGGCAACCCUGAUCCAGCCAUGCCGCGUGAGUGAAGAAGGCCUUCGGGUUGUAAAGCUCUUUCGGCCGGGAAAAAAUCGCAUGGGCUAAUAUCCUGUGUGGAUGAUGGUACCGGAAUAAGAAGCACCGGCUAACUACGUGCCAGCAGCCGCGGUAAGAC
rnacentral:rRNA from 1 species